GAAUAUUGGACAAUGGGGGGCACCCUGAUCCAGCCAUGCCGCGUGUGUGAAGAAGGCCUUUUGGUUGUAAAGCACUUUAAGCGAGGAGGAGGCUACUCUAGUUAAUACCUAGAGAUAGUGGACGUUACUCGCAGAAUAAGCACCGGCUCACUCUGUGCCAGCAGCCGCGGUAAUACAGAGGGUGCAAGCGUUAAUCUGAUUUACUGGGCGUAAAGCGCGCGUAGGUGGACAAUUAAGUCAAAUGUGAAAUCCCCGAGCUUAACUUGGGAAUUGCAUUCGAUACUGGUUGGCUAGGGCAUGGGAGAGGAUGGUAGAAUUCCAGGUGUAGCGGUGAAAUGCGUAGAGGUCUGGAGGAAUACCGAUGGCGAAGGCAGCCAUCUGGCCUAAUACUGACACUGAGGUGCGAAAGCAUGGGGAGCAAACAG
rnacentral:rRNA from 1 species